AUAGUACUCCCUUCGUCCGAAAAUACUUGUCGAAAAAAUAGAUGUAUCUAAAUGUAUUUUACUUCUAGAUAUAUUCAUUUUUAUUCAUUUUCAUGACAAGUAAUUUUGAACUGAGGGAGUACAUU
rfam:Triticum aestivum genome assembly, contig: Triticum_aestivum_CS42_TGACv1_scaffold_502169_6BL